GAUUUUCUAAUAUACUGCAAAUAAAAUAAAAAGAAGCAGAUAAUUUCAAAAAAAAAACAAAGUGAAAUAAGAAGGCAAAACGAAAAGAUCCCACAACAUGUGGCUAUGUCUUAUGUACAUCAACUAGAUUUUUUUUUUUUCCCAAAUUGUUAUUUUAUUGAUCAAAUGGGCCAAGCCCACGGCCGAAGCCCAAAUACAACAGAGCACAACCCAAAAAAACCCAGCCACCUAGCGGGCAACAAGCAUAAAGAAACGGCCGAAGCCCAAUCAAAGAGACAUGGCCCAAGGCCCAAAAACCACACCGUCGGGCUUGAUCUGGAUCGCGUGAAGGAGGCCGAGCUAAACCACGCGUAAGAAUCUGGCUAAUCAGCUCGCCACGUGUCGUCCGCCUCGACUUCGACGCACCAUCCUCUCACAGCCACCGACGCUUACCACCGUAGCCACUUUUCGCCGGAGCUCCGAGACUACAGAGCAUCCGCGACCUCAUCGGUCAUCUACGCCGCCUUGUCUUCUCGACGGAGAGUUCAAACGUUGAACGAAAUCUCAUCCGCCAAUGCAUCACCGGAAACCCUAGACAAGCAAAACGUGACCCACCGCUAUCCUCCUCAUCACCACUCGUAACCGUCGCCGGAGAUCUUCUUCUUGAGAUCUCAACCGCUGCGACCAACGGGUACAUCAACUAGAUUAAAUUUUCGAAUGUCAUACGCAUAUUAUUUUACGUAGGUUGAGAUAGACUUUUCUUUUUGUACGGCUGUAUCCUUUGUUCCUCGGCUAAGAUGGGCGAAUGGGCCUAAUGGG
rnacentral:lncRNA from 1 species